GAAAAUACAACUUUAUAAAAAUGGAAAUGACUAAAUGUUGAGUCUUGAAUGAAUAUGCCACCAUCCCUAAUGCUCCAANUGAUGUUUCCCAAAAUUUCCCUACAACCAAAAUACACUUAAUCAGCUCAGAAAACCCAAAUUAGCACAAUUACAAAUUCCCAACCAAAUUAAGCAGAAUUCGGAAAACGGGGAAAUAACAGACAAUUAAAC
rnacentral:lncRNA from 1 species